GUGGGGAAUAUUGGGCAAUGGAGGCAACUCUGACCCAGCCAUGCCGCGUGAAGGUUUGACGGCCCUCUGGGUUGUAAACUUCUUUUGUACGGGAAUAACCCUCCGGACGUGUCCGGAGCUGAAGGUACCGUAAGAAUAAGGAUCGGCUAACUCCGUGCCAGCAGCCGCGGUAAUACGGCGGAUCCAAGCGUUAUCCAGAUUUACUGGGUUUAAAGGGUGCGUAGGCGGAUUAAUAAGUCAGUGGUGAAAGCCUGCAGCUUAACUGCAGAACUGCCAUUGAUACUGUUAGUCUGGAGUAUGGUUGAGGUAGCUGGAAUGUGUCAUGUAGCGGUGAAAUGCUUAGAGAUGACACAGAACACCGACGGCGAAGGCAGGUUACCAACCCAUUACUGACGCUGAGGCACGAAAGCGUGGGGAUCAAACAGGAUUAGAUACCCUGGUAGUCC
rnacentral:rRNA from 1 species